AGAAUGAACGUUGGUGGCGUGGAUUAGGCAUGCAAGUCGUGCGCGAAGGUGGCUUCGGCCACCGGAGAGCGGCGAACGGGGUAGUAAGGCGUCGGAACGUACCCACGGGUCCGGGAUAGCGGCGGGAAACUGCCGGUAAUACCGGAUGACCUCUUCGGAGCAAAGGUGUGAUUCCGCCUGUGGAGCGGCCGACGUGAUACCAGCUAGUUGGUGAGGUAACGGCUCACCAAGGCUCAGACGUCUAGGGGGUGUGAGAGCAUGGCCCCCACCACUGGGACUGAGACACUGCCCAGACACCUACGGGUGGCUGCAGUCGAGAAUCUUCGGCAAUGGGCGCAAGCCUGACCGAGCGACGCCACGUGCGGGAUGACGGCCUCGGUUGAAACCGCUGUCGAGGGGGAUGAAGUCGACGGGAGCAAUCCUUCCGUGUUGACAGACGCCCGUGGAGGAAGCGCGGACUAAGUACGUGCCAGCACGCCGC
rnacentral:rRNA from 1 species